CCCUCCCGCAAUUGCAGUAUUUGGCAAAAGACUUUGCGUUGACGUGCAGCCUACUUUUCUAAUAGUUAAAUAAUCACCACAGAUUUAUAUUCAGCCGUGUCAUUUCAUGUGUCGAGUACGGCGGCGGCUGCACGUGUACUACUUAGUACAAACAAAUGUGAUAAUACGGCUGGUUUUGAACACCUGUUCACUAAACUCCCCGCCAGUGCUCGCUGCGGAAGCGUUCUGCGGGAACCCUCCGAUGUUUAGACGAGAGAGCCGCUGCCUCUGUUCUCCUCUAAACGCUUUGCGAGGGCUUAUCAGCGCCACUCGUCAGCGACAGCACUCGAGUUGUCGCGCUGGCGUUCGCAGCGCUUUCUUCCCUAUCCAAAUAUUUCGAGGAGCAGGGCCUCAAACGUGGGGAGGCGUCACUUAAGGUGGGCUGUGGGCACCAGAUACCACCGGUGUGAUGAACACUACAACGGACCACCCAGCAGGCCAUGGCCGGCAGCUGACCAACAAGCCAGCAGGAUAAAGAAGAGGAAACAGGAAAAGGGAGGCAGGAAGUCCUGCUCAUCUAGAGUGGCCGUUUAGGAGAGGAUCACGACUACAAACGUGUGUGCUGUUUUUAUAUGAAGCUGUGUUGUCUUUUAGAGAUCAGGUUGAGAUGCUGUUUAUUAACGUUAUAUCUCUUCCUGACACUGUAUUUAUCUUUUUGUGUGUCUAUAUUUUUUUCUGUCUGUCUUUUGCCUUUUCUGGGAUUUUCAAGACGGAUUUGCCAUCGCAAACAUCAAAUUCUACCCUCUCAACUCAAGUGUUCAAGAAACACAUACCUUUUUCAUUUGAAUUCACGUCAAAAAAACACUCCCAAAUACAAACACACAAAUACUCCAAUAUGUACACAGACAGUAAGAUAGACAGAUGCAAAAGCUAGAAAACAAACAAACACAAAUCCAACAAUACAAAGCACACUUAAACACGCACACACAAAACACACACGCACGCACACACACACACACACACACACACACACACACACACACACACACACACACACACACACACACACACACACACACACACACACACACACACACACACACACACACACACAAAGAAGCAGCAGAACCAAAACACAGCACAGCCCGAAGUCGACUUAAUGCAGAAUUAUUCUAAAAUGUUUUACAAUACAAUUAAACAUCAAAGACUGAUCUAUUCCUCUGUGAUCUUUCACACCCCAGUGAACAAACCCCAUACACUCCAAUCCACUUACAGCACACAGAGAAAGUUGCAGUACGUCACCACUAAUUACUAGAUAGAGACAGAAGUGGAGUUUGCAUCGUUAUGCAAAACCAGGACAUAUUCCAAUAUAUGCAUUGAAAUAUGCUAUAAACCAUGAAUCUAUUUACUUUGUAUUGUUUUCCCCGAGCAAGGGUCCACGAGCGAUCGCAGAUCUAUCAAAGCUGUUUUUCAACAAACAUGGUGCAAAGUGCAAACCAUUCACAACACGCACACGGUGUAGUUUGGACAAUGAAAGGGGGAUCUGUUCUAAACUAUUAAAUAAACACACGCCGAGGUCAAGUUCGGAAAGUGUUUCAUAAGGGCCAGAAAAAAAAGCGUGAUGCAGCAGCGAGAACACCUGCCUUCUACAGGGAACACAAAGGGCCUGCAACCACACUCUUCCUACGCAAUAAACCUAAACUAUUUCAGCCAUGCUUGUGCAGGAUGAAAAGGAAAAUAAACUGAAGACGUGAACUGCUUUCAUUUGCACGCUUCAAGAAAGAAGAAACAAAGCAAUGUUAUUUUAUUUCAACAAAAGACAAAGACAAAAAUUGGAUGGUACAAUAAAAUGCAAGCAUUUACCACUGUAAUUUAGAGUUGAGAGGAAAGUCUACGGGUAUGAUAUAUAUAUAAUAAAUAGGUGUUUUUUUUUUUGGUUUUUUUGUAUUGCUGUAUUGCUUGAUACAUUUCCAUCCAUAUCUGAGCCAAAGAGCAUGAUCUCCAAGCCAAGACUUCCAAUACUGCAAAUUAAUCUAUCACUGGUGCUUUUAUUGUAAAAAAUAAUUAGCUUAGAGAUUUAGCUUUCCACCACUUAUAAACAUUAUAACAUUAGUCUUAAAUACAUGCAGUGUUCAACACAAAAGUUGGCUACGUUAUUAUAGACUUUUUAAGAUAUCACUCGGGUGUAACCAUUUUACCGGAAAGCCAUGUGGUUUAAUUUCACAGUCUUUAAAAACAGAGCUUAGAGCCUGCUUAUUUUGUUUUCUGUUUUCGAAACACUUUUGAUGCAUCAUGGCAUAACAGCACACAUAGAGAUAAUCCCAACGGCAUCGUACCCGCUCCAUCUCGCAGUGCUUCCUUCCCUUUAGUCUACGGCAGAAGCCCUCAGCAGGGUGGCACACAAUGUGUCCCUUCCCUUCACUUCACUAAAGCCUUAGUGAGCCUCCAGUGUACAGCGAAAUGCCUUGACAAUCGGCUCACUGCCCCGGCCAAUCACAGAGACACGUGACCCCCUAAUCCUUUUCCCUGAGAAGGGUAAGUGUGUUGUCAGUGUUGGUUUUUGUGAAUCGGCAGCAGCCGAAAUCGCAAAUAAUUUGUCAAAGGGGAUAGGUCUUUAAUGAAUAAGAGAAACAAAAAGUACCUCGGAACAUAAUGUGUGAGAGUGUGUGUCUGUGUGUUUGUGUCUGUGUGUUUGUGUCUGUGUGUGUGAGAGUGUGAGGGUUUGUGAGGGUGUGAGGAUAUUAGUGUGUGUGUGUGUGUGUGUGUGUGUGUGUGUGUGUGUGUGUGUGUGUGUGUGUGUGUGUGUGUGUGUGUGUGUGUGUGUGUGUGUGUGUGUGUGUGUGUGUGUGUGUGUGUGUGUGUGUGUGUGUGUGUGAAUUUGUGUGUGUGUGUGUGCGUGUGUGUGUGUGUGUGUGUGUGUGUGUGUGUGUGUGUGUGUGUGUGUGUGUGUGUGUGUGUGUGUGUGUGUGUGUGUGUGUGUGAGUGUGUGUGUGUGUGCGCGCAGGGGCUCUGAGAUUACAGAGCCUGACUGAGAGAGUCCUCUGUGUGUAAUCGUGGGUCCACAUGCGAGCACUCACCUUCCUCUGAGCGGAUUAACCUAACGCUAAAUCCCAAGAGAGCAACAGGCCAGCCGGGCCACACAGAACAACUUCACUGAUGAUGGGUGGACGACCCAAGGUCAUGAGUGAAGCAUCUUCAGACAUUGAGAGGAAAUUACACAUUUUUCUUAUUAGCAAGGGAGCUUUCAGUCCUGUGUGCUGCUGCCUUCACCUGCUGGUCAUACAUGAGAGGGGUCCUCGCCGCCCGUCAAAGGACUCAGCUUAUGUUUGAGAAGAAGAAGAAGGAUGAGAAGAAGAGGAAGAGAAAAAAGGAGCAGAGGAAGAAGAAGAAGAAGAAGAAGAAGAAGAAGAAGAAGAAGAAGAAGAAGAAGAAGAAGAAGAAGAAGAAGGAGGAGGAGGAAUAAAUAGAAGAGGAAGAAGAAGAAGAAACAGACGAAGAAGAUGAAGAGGAAGAGAAAAAAGAAGCAGAAGAAGAUAAAAAAAAACAGAAGCAGAAGAAUAAGAAAAAAGAAGAAGAGGUAAGAAGAAGGUAAGAAAACAAAUGGAGGAUGAGAAGUGGUUCAAAGGCCUUGGAGAGGGGACUAGGAGCGCUCACCGCCCUACGGAGAAGGAAAACAACACACUUCCUUCACUGCGCUCCCUAUCAAAGCACUGGAAUUCAGGGGGAGUAAAGUUAGCAAGUGGGGGACGGGAAGGUUUCGGUGAACUAGGUCAAAGUUUUGCAGGUCCUCUCUCCCUGGGAUUAAUGGUGAGUGGACAGUCACCCUACCCUAGGAACCAGAGAGAAAACAACCAUGGACCCAAGGUUGCACAAAGUCAGUGUGAAGGUAUUUUGUUUUCAGCAAAAUCUCAUUGCCAUGUCAGUAAUUAACCUAUAUAAUCUGUUUAUACAGAGAUUGUAAUUAAUGUACUGUAAGGAUGGAAAGAAACCAUGAAGUUAUUUUAUCAGCUUAAUAGGGUACAAAAAAUCAUAUUUUGUUUAAAAUAAACAUUUAAGACAGAUAGCAGAUAAUACAACACGGGACUGCAGUUUUAUUAAAAUAAUAGGAAAACAGUGUUUUGCUGUUACCCUACCCUGUUAUCUGUAAAAUAUGAAUAUGAAUGUGCAUAUGAUGCAUACAUCCCAAUUUGUAUAAUUGUGUAUGUUAACUUAGGGUUGCCAUUUCAGGAGUUUAUGAACAAAAUUGUUUUUGCAGCAUGCAGUGAUCUCUUCACUAAUAGUGUGGGUUCUGUCUGACAUGCAAUCUAUGCCGUUUUCCGUCACUGAAAACUUCCAGUCACACAAUUGAAAUGUGACUAAAGCAAAUCGCAAACGUACAAAGAAUACUAAGGGAUCCAAACCAUCUAGAAAAAGUAGUUUGCCACAAAAAUACAGUGACAAAAAUAAAGCAACAUCAACAAAA
ensembl:lncRNA